CAAGUAAGACAGACGAUCGCGGAUGCAGGAGCCGAAAGGCUGCAGACGAGGAAAGUCCGGGCUUCACAGGGCAGGAUGCCGGAUAACGUCCGGUGGAGGCGACUCCAAGGCCAGUGCAACAGAAAUAAACCGCCGGGAUCUCCCCGGUAAGGGUGGAAAGGCAGUGUAAGAGACUACCGCCCUGCUGGUAACAGCAGGGGCACAUGUAAACCCCAUCCGAAGCAAGACCGGAUAGAAACAAUGUGGCUGCCCGUCACGUUUCAGGUAGGUCGCUCGAGCGCAGCGGCGACGCUGCGCCUAGACAGAUGAUCGUCCAAAGACAUAACCCGGCUUAUCGUCUUGCUUGACAC
rnacentral:RNase_P_RNA from 1 species